rnacentral:lncRNA from 1 species
AUUGUUCAAGGAGACAAAAAUAGUGUUCAACUACUUGCUUCUUCAUUCUUUCAGGGCUUUGAUGGAAUUCCAGGGACACCUGGUCCACGAGGGCCAAAGGGUGAAAGAGGACUGCCAGGUGUUCAUGGACUCCCUGGUGACAUCGGACCUCCAGGAAUGGGAAUUCCUGGCCAACCAGUAAGAGAAAUGAACUGAGGACUUUUGUGAACAUUUAUACCAAUAGGAUAUGCUUCUUGAUAUUGUU